CAGAAAGCCACAAGGAGUAUUGCCAGGGACGAAGGCUUUAAUUGGGUGCUGCAGCUGAGGAGAUGCGGGCUCAGUCUCAAAUCCACCUCCCUGACUGACUAAAACUAGGGGGUUACACAGCUGGGAAGAAAUGUAACCGUGUGCAGGAAAACAGAAACUAGGGAAGGGCAAGGAAGCAAUCAUGGUGAAUGAGGGCUCUGCCAUGUCACUGUCAGCAUGCAGUGAUCUGCUGCUCCAACCAGCCUGGGGCUCAGAGCUCCCACUGAAAAGGCCACUUGCGGGUCCAUAAUCAGGGAUGUCCCCCUUCAGCUGGCCCAAGACCCUUACCAAGUCAUAGAAGACCUCAUGGUGCUGACAAUAUCAUCAGCCUCCUCAACGUGAAGACAAUGAGAUGAAGACAUUUAUGACGAUGCACUUCUACUUGAUGAAUGAGGACAGUCCAGUUUACCUGCCAAGGAUUCCUCUUGGCAAGGAACGCCAACUCGCAUUUUGCAUUAAGACACUGGAAAACCUUCUCGUCAUUGGUCCUGGCAUAGCACCUCCCGUGUCCGGGGUAGAUCUUGUACCCUCUGAAACUGCAAACCUCGACAUUCAUGGCAGCAGCUCCACGGGAGGAGAAAAGAUGGCAAAGAGAACUCCAUUUAUUCUUAUAUCUGAUAUAUCGGAUCUUAUUUUCUCCUGCUUAUUUUGUGUUUUCCAUUUACC
rnacentral:lncRNA from 10 species